rfam:Triticum aestivum genome assembly, contig: Triticum_aestivum_CS42_TGACv1_scaffold_406288_5BL
CAACUACUCCCUCUGUCCCAAAUUUCUUGUCUUAGAUUUGUCUAGAUACGGAUGUAUCUAAUACUAAAAUGUGACUUGAUACAUCCGUAUCUAGACAAAUCUAAGACAAGAAUUUUAGGACGGAGGGAGUACUUU